CAGUCGCCGCGGUAAUACGGAGGGAGCUAGCGUUGUUCGGAAUUACUGGGCGUAAAGCGCACGUAGGCGGCUUUGUAAGUUAGAGGUGAAAGCCUGGAGCUCAACUCCAGAAUUGCCUUUAAGACUGCAUCGCUUGAAUCCGGGAGAGGUGAGUGGAAUUCCGAGUGUAGAGGUGAAAUUCGUAGAUAUUCGGAAGAACACCAGUGGCGAAAGCGGCUCACUGGACCGGCAUUGACGCUGAGGUGCGAAAGCGUGGGGAGCAAACAGGAUUAGAUACCCGAGUAGUCCCUGUCUCUUAUAU
rnacentral:rRNA from 1 species